rnacentral:rRNA from 1 species
UACGUAGGGUCCGAGCGUUGUCCGGAAUUACUGGGCGUAAAGAGCUCGUAGGUGGUUUGUCGCGUUGUUCGUAAAAAACUCACAGCUCAACUGUGGGCGUGCGGGCGAUACGGGCAGACUUGAGUACUGCAGGGGAGACUGGAAUUCCUGGUGUAGCGGUGGAAUGCGCAGAUAUCAGGAGGAACACCGGUGGCGAAGGCGGGUCUCUGGGCAGUAACUGACGCUGAGGAGCGAAAGCGUGGGGAGCGAACAGG